rnacentral:rRNA from 1 species
CGUAAUAGCUCACUGGUCGAGUCGGCCUGCGCGGAAGAUGUAACGGGGCUAAACCAUGCACCGAAGCUGCGGCAGCGACACUAUGUGUUGUUGGGUAGGGGAGCGUUCUGUAAGCCUGUGAAGGUGUGCUGUGAGGCAUGCUGGAGGUAUCAGAAGUGCGAAUGCUGACAUAAGUAACGAUAAAGCGGGUGAAAAGCCCGCUCGCCGGAA